GCAGGUAAACAGGGGCGCAAGUUGGUAACUGCAGCGCAGGUUGAUCUUCCGCCUGCUAAUUGCUAGUAUAUUUGUAGUUGCUGGCUACUCUGUCAUUUUAUUACAGUUUGUUUAUCUAUUCAAAGGAAUGAGGUCUGCCAUUCAACAUAUAAACCCAACUUAUCUUUGUAUUUAUUGCUUUUCAGUUUCUCGUUCUAUAUUAUCUAUUGAUGCUGCCAUUGUGGAUUAUGAUAACUUUUGGUACUUCAUCCUUACUGUCCUGAAACUUACCUGGACGUGUGCUGGGUUAUUCUUGUAUGUGGUUUUUUUACUGGUUAUUACGCGUUCUGCACAUUCUUACACGGCUGCACCCGAGGUGCUUCUGGCUACUGCUGGUGGAUGUCGUCGACACCGGAGAGGGCUGUUCUGCUGCAGCUCCCCCACGAGGUGUUCGAUCAAUUGACCAAACCGAGCCAAGUCUGCCUCUCUUGCCUAGGCAUGGACAAUGGUCAUGUACUUUCCUUCAUCAAGUACGAGAAGCGAAGCUGAAGGAGAGGAAGAGGCCACAUAAGGAUUAUUGCACCCCAAAUGGAAAUUUUGCAAGUGGAGAUGAAGGAUUGUUCUAAAUUGACGGAUGAAGCUAUGCCUUCUUUUAGUGGGCUUUUAUUUUUUGAAGUGCAAGACAGGAGCACUGCCGAUUUUCAUUAAGAGAGGAAAAAGAAAACAAAGUGGCCCUGUUUAUAAGGAAAACUAGGCCGAAAAACCUUACAACACACGAUUGAAAUUAGUGGGCUUUUAUAUGUUUGCAUAGUUUUUGCUCUUCAAACUUAAGCUUCAUGUAUGAAAGAUUGUCAUUGGAAAUAGAUACGCUAUUCUCAAGGAAGUAUUAUGCUAGAGUUACUGUCUUGUAAACUAAGCUUAUGUCUGUUUCAAAUUGACGUUUUGACUAAUGUGGGAUUUUUUUGGUGUCAAA